GAAGGCUCUCAGGAACAGCGUGGGGUUGUUGGUGUUACCGCUGAAGAUGAAUAGAUCACGCGGACACAGGUUGAGGUGUGGUGAAAGAAAGAGCAGAGUUUAUUUUUCCUCCCAGGAUUUAUAGGUUUCUGACCAUGGCCAGGGAUUGGAUGGUCAGGAUAACACUUUCCCACUGCACUGGCCAUGAGAAAUGCCCAUCACAAGACGUGUAACAGAAAGAAUGUACACAUAUCUAUGUUUACAGUUACUGUCCUGGGAAAGUCCUUAGAGAACUAUGUUAGCAAGCUCAGAAGCUGAGUUUUCAGGGCGACAGUUGGGGAUGAUGCUGUGCAUGAUCCUUGUGGGUCCCUUCCAGCUCAGCAUAUUCUAUGUCUCUGUGAUUAAUAACAGCCCUGAAUCAGCCCAAGAGCUGCCUGCAGUCUGUUUUGGUUUGAGAUCCCCAUUUGAAUUUCCAGGGCUCACGGUGGUGAGAUGAUCGCUGUGGUUGUACGCUAAUGAUGAUCGUCUGCAGCUCCCACGGGGGUGAGCAGAGUGCUUUUUAUUAAGUGCUGCAAUUCAGCAUCUCAUUGUAUAUGAAAAUGAAAGAGAUUAGUGCAUUUGUGCUGAACAUAUUUCCACAUCAGUAAAGUGAGGGUGCGGUGACAAGACAGCUCUCCAAACCCAAUUAGCUGCAGUGAAUCCCAGAGAUCUGGUCCCAUCUCAUCUGAGGAAUGUCACCUAACAUUGGAACAUGUGUUACCAGGAAACACAGAGCCUGAUCACAUCAGGAGCCUUCAAGGAGGCAGCGUUCACACAACCUGAAGAUCCUCUGCCAGCAGUUCCAUUAUGGAAACUGCCAAUUUCUCUGCCAAAGUCUUGGCUCAGAAGAUUCACAGUUGAUCCCCGUGAAAAACAGAUACAUUUAGCAGCAUCUAUUCAAGGAGCUGUGCAGAAAUACUGUGAGUACUUUGGCAUGUUCUCUUGCAAUCCCAACACUGCUCUUGGAGGGAAAGGCACCACAGAAAUAUUUCAGAGCAGGGGUUAUAAGAAUGGCAAGCAAAGAAAGCAGAGAAGUCUUUUACCCAGGGGUUGUCAUGCAUGAGGGAGUUAAGCCACACGAAGCAGAAGAGGAC
rnacentral:lncRNA from 1 species